CGUUCCCGGGUCUUGUACACACCGCCCGUCACACCACGAAAGUUGGCAAUACCCGAAGCCGGUGUCCUAACCCGCAAGGGAGGGAGCCGUCGAAGGUAGGGUCAGUGAUUGGGGUG
rnacentral:rRNA from 1 species